rnacentral:rRNA from 1 species
CGGGAGUGGACGCAUCACUGGUGUUCGGGUUGUCAUGCCAAUGGCACUGCCCGGUAGCUAAAUGCGGAAGAGAUAAGUGCUGAAAGCAUCUAAGCACGAAACUUGCCCCGACGAUGAGUUCUCCCUGACUCCUUGAGAGUCCUGAAGGAACGUUGAAGACGACGACGUUGAUAGGCCGGGUGUGUAAGCGCAGCGAUGCGUUGAGCUAACCGGUACUAAUGAACCGUGAGGCUUAACCUUACAACGCCGAAGCUGUU